rnacentral:rRNA from 1 species
GAUGAACGCUGGCGGCGUGCCUAAUACAUGCAAGUCGAGCGAACAGACGAGGAGCUUGCUCCUUUGACGUUAGCGGCGGACGGGUGAGUAACACGUGGGUAACCUACCUAUAAGACUGGGAUAACUUCGGGAAACCGGAGCUAAUACCGGAUAAUAUUUCGAAACGCAUGGAUCGAUAGUGAAAGAUGGCUUUGCUAUCACUUAUAGAUGGACCUGCGCCGUAUUAGCUAGUUGGUAAGGUAACGGCUUACCAAGGCAAGGAUACGUAGCCGACCUGAGAGGGUGAUCGGCCACACUGGAACUGAGACACGGUCCAGACUCCUACGGGAGGCAGCAGUAGGGAAUCUUCCGCAAUGGGCGCAAGCCUGACCCAGCAACGCCGCGUGAGUGAUGAAGGUCUUCGGAUCGUAAACCUCUUUUAUUAGGGAAGAACAAACGUGUAAGUAACUGUGCACGUCUUGACGGUACCUAAUCAGAAAGCCACGGCUAACUACGUG